AAAAUUGUUGGAUGCAGGGGAGGAUUUUGUUCAAACACGUACAAUUGCAACCCUAGGAUAUAUCGCUCCAGAGUAUGGACAGGAUGGUAUAGUAUCCACGAGCUGUGAUGUUUAUAGUUUUGGCAUCCUGAUGAUGGAGACGUUUACAAGAAUGAGACCAAGCGAUGAUAUAUUUACCGGAGAAUUGAGCAUAAGAAGUUUUGUUAGCGAUUCUUUUCCAGGUGGAAUUCAUAAGGUGGUAGAUGCUAAUUUGCUACAUCCAGCGGAUGAACAAACCGAUGCAAAGAUGCAGUGUCUGCUAUCUAUCAUGGAAUUAGCUUUGAGUUGCACUGUGAUGAUACCUGAUGCAAGAAUUAGUAUGGAAGAGGCUCUUUCAACACUUACAAAGAUUAGGCUCCACUUUGCCAGUAGUUGCUGCUAGGUGGAAUCAGCGAUCGCUGUGUUGAUGGUUGUGUUGAGCUUUCAAUUAUGCGCUAGGACUUAAUUAGUUCAUCAUAGCAGUGUGCGUAAUGAUCUGGUAUGCAAGGCGAAUUUUUUCAUAGUGCCGAGCCUUAUUUACUGGUUAUUGUUUUUGUUUUUCAUCUAUUUUCUGGUUCUUAUAAUGAUGUUAUUAUUUCUAUGAUUUCUGUUGAUUGUACUGAUAUAACUCCUUGAGCCGAAAGUCUAUCGGAAACAGCCUCUCUACUCUCUCUGGGGUAGGGGUAAGGUGUACAUACACACUAUCCUCUUAAACUCCACUUGUAAGAUUUUACUGGAUUGUUGUUGUUGUUGA